rnacentral:snRNA from 1 species
UUGCUUCUGCAGCAUAUAUACUAAAAAUUGGAACAAUACAGGUUAGCAUGGCCCCUGCACAAGAAUGAUAAGCAAAUUUAUGAAGUGUUCUCUAUUUUU